ACGGAAAUGUGCCCGAAAAUUAAGGGUUACUUUGAUAGAGUAAAUCACAGAGGUUUAAACCCUCUCAUUUCCU
rnacentral:tRNA from 1 species